AACGCUAGCUACAGGCUUAACACAUGCAAGUCGAGGGGCAGCAUGGUCUUAGCUUGCUAAGGCCGAUGGCGACCGGCGCACGGGUGAGUAACACGUAUCCAACCUGCCGUCUACUCUUGGACAGCCUUCUGAAAGGAAGAUUAAUACAAGAUGGCAUCAUGAGUCCGCAUGUUCACAUGAUUAAAGGUAUUCCGGUAGACGAUGGGGAUGCGUUCCAUUAGAUAGUAGGCGGGGUAACGGCCCACCUAGUCUUCGAUGGAUAGGGGUUCUGAGAGGAAGGUCCCCCACAUUGGAACUGAGACACGGUCCAAACUCCUACGGGAGGCAGCAGUGAGGAAUAUUGGUCAAUGGGCGAGAGCCUGAACCAGCCAAGUAGCGUGAAGGAUGACUGCCCUAUGGGUUGUAAACUUCUUUUAUAAAGGAAUAAAGUCGGGUAUGGAUACCCGUUUGCAUGUACUUUAUGAAUAAGGAUCGGCUAACUCCGUGCCAGCAGCCGCGGUAAUACGGAGGAUCCGAGCGUUAUCCGGAUUUAUUGGGUUUAAAGGGAGCGCAGGCCGUGGGUUAAGCGUGUCGUGAAAUUCCGUCGCUCAACGGCGGACGUGCGGCGCGAACUGGUCCACUUGAGUACGCGGGACGUUGGCGGAAUUCGUGGUGUAGCGGUGAAAUGCUUAGAUAUCACGAAGAACUCCGAUUG
rnacentral:rRNA from 1 species